rnacentral:pre_miRNA from 1 species
AGUGAGCCAUUGUGUAUGUUAUGCAAUAGUCAUUUACGUAAGUAAAUGAUUGAAACCUACAUAAAUGACUAUUGCAUAACAUACACAAUGGCUCACUACA